rnacentral:rRNA from 1 species
UGGUGCAUGGCCGUCGUCAGUUCGUACUGUGAAGCAUCCUGUUAAGUCAGGCAACGAGCGAGACCCACGCCCACAGUUGCCAGCGUACUCUCCGGAGUGACGGGUACACUGUGGGGACCGCCGCUGCUAAAGCGGAGGAAGGAAUGGGCAACGGUAGGUCAGUAUGCCCCGAAUAUCCCGGGCUACACGCGAGCUACAAUGGUUGGUACAAUGGGUAUCUACCCCGAAAGGGGACGGGAAUCUCCUAAAACCAAUCUUAGUUCGGAUUGAGGGCUGCAACUCGCCCUCAUGAAGCUGGAAUCCGUAGUAAUCGCGUUUCAACAGAACGCGGUGAAUACGUCCCUGCUCCUU